rnacentral:rRNA from 1 species
UACAGAGGGUGCGAGCGUUGUUCGGAAUUACUGGGCGUAAAGCGCGCGCAGGCGGCCUUUUAAGUCUGGCGGGGAAAUGCCGGGGCUCAACCCCGUUGCAGGCCGCGGAUACUGGGAGGCUGGAGACGAGUAGAGGCAAGCGGAAUUCCGGGUGUAGCGGUGGAAUGCGUAGAGAUCCGGAAGAACACCGGUGGCGAAGGCGGCCUGCUGGGCAGUUGCUGACACUGAGGCGCGACAGCGUGGGGAGCAAACAGG